rnacentral:rRNA from 1 species
GAUGAACGCUGGCGGCGUGCCUAAUACAUGCCAGUCGAGCGAAAAGACGAGGAGAUUGCUCCUCUGACGUUAGCGGCGGACGGGCGAGUAAAACGUGGAUAACCUACCUAUUAGACUGGGGUAACUUCGGGAAACAGGAGCUAAUAAUGGAUAAUAUAUUCAACCGCUUGGAUCAAUAGUGCUAGACGGCUUUGCUGUCACUUAUAGAUGGAUCCGCGUCGCAUUGGCUAGUUGGUAAGGUACCGGCUUACCAAGGCAACGAUGCGUAGCCGACCUGAGAGGGUGAUCGGCCACACUGGAACUGAGACACGGUCCAGACUCCUACGGGAGGCAGCAGUGGGGAAUCUUGGACAAUGGGCGAAAGCCUGACGGAGCAACGCCGCGUGGGUGAAGAAGGUCUUCGGGUCGUAAAGCUCUUUUAUUGGGAAAGAACAAAUGUGGAAGAAACUAUCCACGUCUUGACGGUACCUAAUCAGUAAGCCACGGCUAACUACGUG